AGGUCAGGGUGGGAGGUGGGCUGGCGCCCCCUGCAGGUCAGGGUGGGAGGUGUGCUGGCGCCCCCUGCAGGUCAGGGUGGGAGGUGUGCUGGCGCCCCCUGCAGGUCAGGGUGGGAGGUGUGCUGGCGCCCCCUGCAGGUCAGGGUGGGAGGUGUGCUGGCGCCCCCUGCAGGUCAGGGUGGGAGGUGUGCUGGCGCCCCCUGCAGGUCAGGCUCCCACUCACCCACCUCUUCUCCUGCACCUCCUGGAUGUUCUCGAUGCCAAUGGCGCUGCUGCGGCGGGAGCCAAAUGGACCAGACUUCUUCCUUGUGGG